UGGCAUUCAAUUAGGGAGUCAGCUGUGC
rnacentral:piRNA from 1 species